rnacentral:rRNA from 1 species
GAUGAACGCUGGCGGCGUGCUUAACACAUGCAAGUCGAACGGAAAGGCCCUGCUCUUGUUGGGUGCUCGAGUGGCGCAGGGGUGUGUAACACGUGAGUAUCCUGCCCCUUACUUUGUGAUAACUCCACGAAACUGCGGCUAAUACCUGAUAUGAGCUCCUGCUGCAUGGUGUUGGUUAGAAAGUUUCGGCGUUUGUGGAUCGACUCGCGGCUUAUCAGCUUGUUGGUGGGGUAGUGGCUUACCAAGGCUUCGACGGAUAGCCUGCCUGAGAGGGGGACCGGCGACAUUACGACUGAGAUAGGCAGCAGACGGGUACGGGAGGCAGAAGGGGGAAAUAUGACACAGUGAGCGGGAGCGAGUGACAGAGGCGCUGGGUGCGUAAAGACGGGUUUCGAGGUAUGAACCGCUGUGGACUGAGAUGAAGCGUGAGUGACGGUAAUGGAUAAAGAAGCACCGGCUAACUACGUG